GGUUGGGCGAAAAGCUUCAAGAAAUGAAUUGGUCGGGGAACCAAUU
rnacentral:ncRNA from 1 species